AUCAUUUUGCAUCCACACAAUUCCAUUUAUCAAGUCUGGACAUGGAAUGAUUAGUCUAAUGAAUGUCCAUAGACACAAUUUGAUAUUCAUAAAAUCAAAGCAAACACUGAUGGCUUUUGUAGCAUACAUUAUUUUGGAUGAUUUUGCAACUACCAGGUUAAUUUUCAAUAAAUAACCACAAGUUUUCAGCUAAUACUUAACUCAGAAGAUAAGAAACAAACUUGUGUAUAAAAUUUUAAUCUUUCAGGACAUCUCAUCGGAUCAAAACCAAUAAUACAAGGGUCAGUAUGUGCAAAGGAAAAUCUUCACCAAAUUCUCAACUAGGGGGUACCCUCGCCUUUGCCUUGAUGUAUAGCCUCUAAACAUUCCUUAGCCCUAUGAACCUUUGAUUGGAUGUAAAAGCUUCCGUUUUUGGCAUUCCUCUCAAAUAAAGUGUCAUAUUUCUUCAGUAUCUCCUCCCAAGCAGUUUCCUCAGUUACACCAAGAAUCUGACGGGCUUCUUGCUCCGUCAUUACUUUGCUUCCUCUACGGAUUGUG
rnacentral:misc_RNA from 1 species